rnacentral:rRNA from 1 species
UACGAACUGUGCAAACGUUAUUCGGAUUCACUGGGCUUAAAGGGUGCGUAGGCGGCCAUUUAAGUAGGGUGUGAAAUCCCGGAGCUUAACUCCGGAACUGCGCUCUAAACUGGGUGGCUUGAGUGAGAUAGGGGUGUGUGGAACUUCCAGUGGAGCGGUGAAAUGCGUUGAUAUUGGAAGGAACUCCGGUGGCGAAGGCGACACACUGGGUCUUAACUGACGCUGAGGCACGAAAGCCAGGGUAGCGAACGGG